CUUGGUCAUUAGAGGAAGUAAAAGUCGUAACAAGGUUUCCGUAGGUGAACCUGCGGAAGGAUCAUUAUCGAGUUUUGACUGGGUUGUAGCUGGCCUUCCGAGGCAUGUGCACGCCCUGCUCAUCCACUCUACACCUGUGCACUUACUGUGGGUAUCAGAUCGUGAAGCGUGCUCUUUUACCGGAGCUUGUGAAGCGUGUCUGUGCCUGCGUUUAUCACAAACACUAUAAAGUAUCAGAAUGUGUAUUACGAUGUAACGCAUCUAUAUACAACUUUCAGCAACGGAUCUCUUGGCUCUCGCAUCGAUGAAGAACGCAGCGAAAUGCGAUAAGUAAUGUGAAUUGCAGAAUUCAGUGAAUCAUCGAAUCUUUGAACGCACCUUGCGCUCCUUGGUAUUCCGAGGAGCAUGCCUGUUUGAGUGUCAUGAAAUCUUCAACCUAUAAGCUUUUGUGGUUUGUAGGCUUGGACUUGGAGGCUUGUCGGCCUUGAUCGGUCGGCUCCUCUUAAAUGCAUUAGCUUGAUUCCUUGCGGAUCGGCUCUCGGUGUGAUAAUAUCUACGCCGCGACCGUGAAGCGUUUGGCGAGCUUCUAACCGUCUCACUUGAGAGACAACUUUAUGACCUCUGACCUCAAAUCAGGUAGGACUACCCGCUGAACUUAAGCAUAUCAAUAAG
rnacentral:rRNA from 1 species